rnacentral:rRNA from 1 species
GACGAACGCUGGCGGCGUGCUUAACACAUGCAAGUCGAACGGAAAGGCCCUGCUUUUGUGGGGUGCUCGAGUGGCGAACGGGUGAGUAACACGUGAGUAACCUGCCCUUGACUUUGGGAUAACUUCAGGAAACUGGGGCUAAUACCGGAUAGGAGCUCCUGCUGCAUGGUGGGGGUUGGAAAGUUUCGGCGGUUGGGGAUGGACUCGCGGCUUAUCAGCUUGUUGGUGGGGUAGUGGCUUACCAAGGCUUUGACGGGUAGCCGGCCUGAGAGGGUGACCGGCCACAUUGGUACUGAGAUACGGCCCAGACUCCUACGGGAGGCAGCAGUGGGGAAUAUUGCACAAUGGGCGGAAGCCUGGUGCAGCAACGCCGCGUGCGGGAUGACGGCCUUCGGGUUGUAAACCGCUUUCGCCUGUGACGAAGCGUGAGUGACGGUAAUGGGUAAAGAAGCACCGGCUAACUACGUG